GAGAUAGCCAUGCGAGUUAACGUAGCAAUACGUGGCGCACGGCUCAGUAACACGUAGUCAACAUGCCCAGAGGACGUGGAUAACCUCGGGAAACUGAGUCUAAACCGCGAUAAGUGAGGAUUUCUGGAAUGGUUCCUGACUAAAAUCUAUAUGGCCUCUGGAUUGGACUGCGGCCGAUCAGGCUGUUGGUGAGGUAAUGGCCCACCAAACCUGUAACCGGUACGGGCUCUGAGAGGAGGAGCCCGGAGAUGGGCACUGAGACAAGGGCCCAGGCCCUAUGGGGCGCAGCAGGCGCGAAACCUCUGCAAUAGGCGAAAGCCUGACAGGGUUACUCUGAGUGACUUUCGCUAAGAAAGUCUUUUGGCACCUCUAAAAAGGGUGCAGAAUAAGGGGUGGGCAAGUCUGGUGUCAGCCGCCGCGGUAAUACCAGCACCCCGAGUGGUCGGGACGAUUAUUGGGCCUAAAGCAUCCGUAGCCGGUUCUGCAAGUCCCCCGUUAAAUCCAGCUGCUCAACAGAUGGGCCGCGGAGGAUACUACAGAGCUAGGAGGCAGGAGAGGCAAGCGGUACUCAGUGGGUAGGGGUAAAAUCCGUUGAUCCAUUGAAGACCACCAGUGGCGAAGGCGGCUUGCCAGAAUGCGCUCGACGGUGAGGGAUGAAAGCUGGGGGAGCAAACCGGAUUAGAUACCCGGGUAGUCCCAGCCGUAAACGAUGCAGACUCGGUGAUGGGUUGGCUUCGCGCUAACCCAGUGCCGCAGGGAAGCCGUUAAGUCUGCCGCCUGGGUAGUACGGUCGCAAGACUGAAACUUAAAGGAAUUGGCGGGGGAGCACCACAAGGGGUGAAGCCUGCGGUUC
rnacentral:rRNA from 1 species